UUUUCGGUGCUUGCGCUGGGUAUUUGGUUUAGGCUAGUAUUUGGGUAAUACGAUUUGGGCUGGUGGGUUUUGGGCUGAACGGGUUGGUUGUUAUUGGGCUGGAUGUAAAUGGACUUUAAAAUGGACCUUUAAUUUUUAUUUGGUUUUCUUUUUUUUUAUGUUUGUGUUUAUCAUUUGGGCCAGGCCUGGAAAAAUUUGGGUAUUACAAUCCCCAUAUUGAGCAAGCAGAAAAAAUCCAGUCACAGUUUGGGCUUAAGCCCUUUCAGUACUAGAUUCAGUUUCAGUUAGGGCCUUAGCCCAAUUCAAUACAG
rnacentral:lncRNA from 1 species